rnacentral:rRNA from 1 species
ACAGCAGUAGCCGCGGGAAUACGUAGGUCCCGAGCGUUGUCCGGAAUUAUUGGGCGUAAAGCGCGCGCAGGUGGUUUAAUAAGUCUGAUGUGAAAGCCCACGGCUCAACCGUGGAGGGUCAUUGGAAACUGUUAAACUUGAGUGCAGGAGAGAAAAGUGGAAUUCCUAGUGUAGCGGUGAAAUGCGUAGAGAUUAGGAGGAACACCAGUGGCGAAGGCGGCUUUUUGGCCUGUAACUGACACUGAGGCGCGAAGGCGUGGGGAGCAAACAGGAUUAGAUACCCGUGUAGUCCCUGUCUCUUAUAC